ACGCUCGCUGGCGGCGUGCUUCACCCAUGCAAGUCGCACGGAAAGGCCCUGCUUUUGUGGGGUGCUCGAGUGGCGAACGGGUGAGUAACACGUGAGUAACCUGCCCUUGACUUUGGGAUAACUUCAGGAAACUGGGGCUAAUACCGGAUAGGAGCUCCUGCUGCAUGGUGGGGGUUGGAAAGUUUCGGCGGUUGGGGAUGGACUCGCGGCUUAUCAGCUUGUUGGUGGGGUAGUGGCUUACCAAGGCUUUGACGGGUAGCCGGCCUGAGAGGGUGACCGGCCACAUUGGGACUGAGAUACGGCCCAGACUCCUACGGGAGGCAGCAGUGGGGAAUAUUGCACAAUGGGCGGAAGCCUGAUGCAGCAACGCCGCGUGCGGGAUGACGGCCUUCGGGUUGUAAACCGCUUUCGCCUGUGACGAAGCGUGAGUGACGGUAAUGGGUAAAGAAGCACCGGCUAACUACGUG
rnacentral:rRNA from 1 species